UAAAAGGUCAGAUGCGCUAGGAGGGGCAGGCCCCGUACCUUCACCAUUUGGCUGACUUCAUAUCUGUCAUUUCCAUAAUCUAUAACACUCUCCCGGAUGACCGUCCUUAAUGUCAUAGGACUCCGCCUUCCCUUUGUUUUGACUCCUUCCGGUGUUCAGUUCGUUUUUCAUCGACAAUCUAACGGCGCCUACAAGGUUUGUAUCUGAUUCUUUUUCUUACUCGCCCUCUCCCUUUUGUUUUCACCUUUUUCUCAUCCCGUUCAGCUCCAUUGAUCUGCUCUUGACUUAGGACCUCCUCUGUUUUAGUACUUGUCAGAUUUUCAUUGUUGCUAACACCAUAACAAUUCCCUGGUUUCUAAAGACCUUGCAGAUAUGCUCACUUUUACUUUUAUUACUCUCUGGUUCAUUCUCAUGUGUAUACCAUUGCAAAAGUACAGAAAAUAGCCAAUCAUCUCAUCUCAUACGCAUGAGAAUCUUUUAUCUUCUUUUUUUAAAUUUAAUUUUAUUAAUUUAUUUAUUCAACGAGACUAGGCUUGAAGUACGAUAUAAAGAACAUCCAAGAAUGAUUGUUUUCGUAAGGAUAUAAAAAUUGGUGCAGUGGUGGGCUCAAGUUCACAUAACCUGCUGCUGCUAUUGUCGAGUUGUCAACAAAACGAAGCAGGGCUCUUCCAACCUGUUGUGGAUGAGCAGGUAAAAAGGAUUUGUCCCUUUCCAGAUGCCUAUCCUGAUAAUAUCUAUUUGGUGCAUUGGUGUUGAAAAUUUUGAUAUGUACGAG
rnacentral:lncRNA from 1 species